AAACCGUGAUGUGGACAUUCUAAGAGAAAGUCUUUGAAACGUUCCAUGCAUCGAGAAAAGGAUUCAUUGGGUCUUUGGAGAAACUGAAGCAUGUCAUUCCUAUGUUU
rnacentral:snoRNA from 1 species